rnacentral:rRNA from 1 species
GUCCACGCCGUAAACGAUGGAUACUAGGUGUGGGAGGUAUUGACCCCUUCCGUGCCGCAGUUAACACAUUAAGUAUCCCACCUGGGGAGUACGACCGCAAGGUUGAAACUCAAAGGAAUUGACGGGGCCCGCACAAGCAGUGGAGUAUGUGGUUUAAUUCGAAGCAACGCGAAGAACCUUACCUGGUCUUGACAUCCCGAUGACCGCUCUAGAGAUAGAGUUUUCCCUUCGGGGACAUCGGUGACAGGUGGUGCAUGGUUGUCGU